ACUGAAAUGCUCCAUCUUGCUCAGCCUGAAGGACAAUGGCACUAAUCCUAAGGACAAAUUAAAAGUUCGAAAAAGCAAAUGGCUUGGAGGAAAGCUGUUCGAAACCUCACACAAUGAGGAAACAAAUACCUUCCGAAGGGCUGUUAGGAAGAGACCCAGCCAUCAGUGCAAAGGUCUCCGUUUCCCUGCGCCCUGUUUCUAUCAGUAAGACCUUGCCAAGGCUCUCAUGAUGCAAAGUUGUGACUCUAAACCGGGCAUCUCAGCAAAGCUCUUUCCCUUCCUGUAGAAGCCCAGGUCAAUUGGGGGGCCAGUGGUCAAACCAGCAGGCUUUCAGGAGCACCUGACGCUCAGAGCAGGCCUCGUCCUUUUUCUGCCUUUCUGUAGCAGAUCGCCUUUUGCAGGCUUGGCUCUGAUCUCAGCCCCUCUUGCUCCACUUUCUUGGCUGUCGGCCUGGUCUCCUGCCGUCCUCAUCUGUAGGAGCUGCACAGCUCAGCAAGAAACUGUUCUUCGUGCGCCCAUCACAGCACGGGAAGAAAACGAACAUGGAGAUACUAGCCUGAAGAGCAAAAGAAGCUCUUGUUGCAGAGCCAAAUUCACUCUUUUAAGGACUUUGGGUUUUAGAAAAGGAAACCUCCACAAACUGAAAGAUAAGAUGAAAAAGUACUGUCUUAAAACUGCCAAGUCUGUUUUUUCUCACGUAAGUGACAACACGUAGCAGGAUCAUGAGAGAAAUGCCCUUUCACUGAGUGCUGAUUGGUUUUCAGACUCCAGCUAAACAAAAAGCCUCAAGGCACUAAUACCAAGCCAGUUCCACUCCGGAAUGGUGCUCCUUGGUGGCCACACUGCACAGAUGUCCAGUAUGUGGAUAAGAAGUCCCCAGAGCCUGCCCGAAAUCAAGACACCCAGCACUUCUUCCCAAGGGACUGCUUUGACACUAAGGAGUGAUCCAUCUUGAGAAAAUUAUUUAACUUCUCUGUGCCUCAGUUCCUUCAUCUAUAAUUAUAAUAGUAUCAAUCUUGUCAAGUUAUAGGUAGCAUUAAAAGAGUUAAUACAUGCAAAGAUUUGGAAAAGUCUAGGUAUUAUGUGGUGAACCAAUAAUACUAUUAUAUUAAGAACUUAUAAACAUUUCAUCAAGUCUUACAAUGUAGUUUUAUUUUUCAGAUACUUUUUUUACCCUUACAGUAUUUUACAUUCUUUGAAGUAGAAACUGAGUGCAUGCCUAUUGUAUACUUUGUACAAAAUUUUGCAGAGUAAGUCUUUAAUAGAUUCGAUUCAUAAGCAAAUGCGUGAAGGGGAUAGACAAAUCUCAAGUUCAGGUAUAUUAUAGAAAGAACUUAAGUGUAGAUAUUGAUUUUAGAAAUCUGCUCUAGAAAGCACUGUAGAUAGUGGACUUCACCAGUGAAAAUCAAAAAAGAAAGGAGAAAACCAAAGAAGAGAGAUCAUGGAAAGGAGAUGGAGCAAGCACACACUGAAAAUGGUUCUGAAAGGAGGGCAGAGUCACUCAGUAUCAUCAAAAAAUGUAACAGGGGACUUCUGUGAUCAGGUGUGUGUGAGAAAACUGAUUUGAUCAAUUUGGAUGAUUAUUAGAGUAUCAUUUUUUUCAUUAACAAUAGUAGCACCCAAGUACUCUAAGAUUCUGAGAAGUUAAGUGGAUUGCCCAGGCCCACACAACUGGAAAGUCGCCAAAUAGGAUUCAGCCCAAGACUCCACGGACUGUACUUUAUUUGAUAAAUGUCUGGUAAUAGCAAGUUUACCCCAAGAUUGGAUACAAGCGUACUACUCUGCUAGUACUGAAUCUGCUUUUUGUUGAUUUAUUAUUCUGUUUUACAAUUUGUUGUUUAUUUUACUUAAUUAUGCUUUGCAAAAUGGAUUAAGUGCACUAAAUCUGUUAUAAAUAAGUCUCUUUCUUGUAUAUAAACAAUGCUGCUUUGUUAUUUCCCAGGGAUUUCCCUGGGUCCAGUCCAAAAACACAGAGUUUCCAAGACUGCUGCUUCCCUCACUGAGCUACUCUACAACCCACCACUGAUGGCUACAGAGAAGGGCAUGUUCAGAGCGUCUGAAAAGUCACAACCCGCAGACAGGAACAGGCGUGCUGCCAAACACUUCUUACUUGCUCCACUUUAACAAAUAGCACCCUGAACCAGUCUAUGCUUGGAUCCUUCAGUUUGUCACUGAAUAAUUCAUGGUUAUUUAAUUUUGUCCCGUAUCAAAAGAUUUACAAUAUGCAAUCUUUUAAGCUUAAUCUUUACAAAGAUUGUAAGUAUGUCACAGGGAGUAUUUAAAGCUUCACUGUUCUGUUUAGUACCUUCAACUUUGCCAAUGAAAAGAGCCACAGGAAUUGAUGUAUUCUUAUCCAAUUUGAGAUUAGAUAAUACUUGUAAAUAAAGAAUGACAUCUGAUAGCA